CCACCUCCCCAGCACAUCAUCACCUUUGCUGCCUCCCUCGGCUCUGCUCGCUUGUACUGCCCUGUUUCAGCCACUCUGGAUUUCGUGAAUUCUGUACAGGAGAA